GAUGAACGCUGGCGGCGUGCCUAAUACAUGCAAGUCGAGCGAACAGACGAGGAGCUUGCUCCUCUGACGUUAGCGGCGGACGGGUGAGUAACACGUGGAUAACCUACCUAUAAGACUGGGAUAACUUCGGGAAACCGGAGCUAAUACCGGAUAAUAUAUUGAACCGCAUGGUUCAAUAGUGAAAUACGGUUUUGCUGUCACUUAUAGAUGUAUCCGCGCCGCAUUAGCUAGUUGGUAAGGUAACGGCUUACCAAGGCAACGAUGCGUAGCCGACCUGAGAGGGUGAUCGGCCACACUGGAUCUGAGACACGGUCCAGACUCCUACGGGAGGCAGCAGGAGGGAAUCUGCCGCAAUGGGCGAAAUCCUGACGGAGCAACGCCGCGUGAGUGAUGAAGGUCUUCGGAUCGUAAAACUCUGUUAUUAGGGAAGAACAAAUGUGUAAGUAACUAUGCACGUAUUGACGGUACCUGAUCAGAAAGCCACGGCUAACUACGUG
rnacentral:rRNA from 1 species